rnacentral:rRNA from 1 species
GACGAACGCUGGCGGCGUGCCUAAUACAUGCAAGUAGAACGCUGAGGAGAGGAGCUUGCUCUUCUUGAAUGAGUUGCGAACGGGUGAGUAACGCGUAGGUAACCUGCCUUGUAGCGGGGGAUAACUAUUGGAAACGAUAGCUAAUACCGCAUAACAAUGGGUGACACAUGUCAUUUAUUUGAAAGGGGCAAUUGCUCCACUACAAGAUGGACCUGCGUUGUAUUAGCUAGUAGGUGAGGUAACGGCUCACCUAGGCGACGAUACAUAGCCGACCUGAGAGGGUGAUCGGCCACACUGGGACUGAGACACGGCCCAGACUCCUACGGGAGGCAGCAGUAGGGAAUCUUCGGCAAUGGGGGCAACCCUGACCGAGCAACGCCGCGUGAGUGAAGAAGGUUUUCGGAUCGUAAAGCUCUGUUGUAAGUCAAGAAUGAGUGUGAGAGUGGAAAGU